rnacentral:rRNA from 1 species
UCAUAUGCUUGUCUCAAAGAUUAAGCCAUGCAUGUCUAAGUGCAAACCGCAUUAAGGUGAAACCGCGAAUGGCUCAUUAAAUCAGUUAUGGUUCCUUGGAUAUAACAAACCGACUUGGAUAACUGUGGCAAUUCUAGAGCUAAUACAUGCUACGUGGGUCCCGACCGGAAACGGGAAGGACGCUUUUAUUAGAUCAAGACCAAUCGGUCGGCUCGCACCGUACCGCAUAUCUUGGUGACUCUGAAUAACUUUGGGCUGAUCGCACGGUCUCGCACCGGCGACGCCUCCUUCAAAUGUCUGCCUUAUCAACUGUCGAUGGUAGGUUCUGCGCCUACCAUGGUUGUAACGGGUAACGGGGAAUCAGGGUUCGAUUCCGGAGAGGGAGCCUGAGAAACGGCUACCACAUCCAAGGAAGGCAGCAGGCGCGCAAAUUACCCACUCCCGGCACGGGGAGGUAGUGACGAAAAAUAACGAUACGGGACUCAUCCGAGGCCCCGUAAUCGGAAUGAGAACACUUUAAAUCCUUUAACGAGUAUCCAUUGGAGGGCAAGUCUGGUGCC